rnacentral:rRNA from 1 species
UACGUAGGGUGCGAGCGUUAAUCGGAAUUACUGGGCGUAAAGCGUGCGCAGGCGGUCUGUUAAGACCGAUGUGAAAUCCCCGGGCUCAACCUGGGAACUGCAUCUGUGACUGCAUAGCUAGAGUACGGUAGAGGGGGAUGGAAUUCCGCGUGUAGCAGUGAAAUGCGUAGAUAUGCGGAGGAACACCGAUGGCGAAGGCAGCUCGCUGGGACGGUACUGACGCUGAGGCGCGAAAGCGUGGGGAGCAAACAGG